rnacentral:rRNA from 1 species
AGUGAACGCUGGCGGCAUGCCUAAUACAUGCAAGUCGAGCGGCAACACGAGGAGAUUGCUCCCCUCGCGUUACCGGCGGACGGGUGAGUAACACGUAGCUAACCUACUGAUAGGGCUGAGGUAGCUUCGGGAACCCGAAUAUAGUACAGGAUAUUAGAUUGAACCGCAGGGAUCAAUAGUGCACGCGCAUUUAGCUGACCCUACUAGCUAGUACCGCGCCGCAUUAGCUAGUGGGUAAGGUAACGGCUUACCAAGGCAACGAUGCGUAGCCGACCUGAGAGGGUGAUCGGCCACACUGGAACUGAGACACGGCCCAGACUCCUACGGGAGGCAGCAGUAGGGAAUAUUCGGCAAUGGGCGAAAGCCUGACGGAGCAAUGCCGCGUGUGUGAAGAAGGUCUUCGGAUUGUAAAACUCUUUUAUCAGGGAAGAACAAACUUGUAAGUAACUAUGCACGGCUUGACGGUACCGAAUCAGAAAGCAACGGCUAACUACGUG